rnacentral:rRNA from 1 species
CAAUAGCGUAUAUUAAAGUUGUUGCAGUUAAAACGCUCGUAGUCGGAUUUCGGGGCGGGCCGACCGGUCUGCCGUUGGGUAUGCACUGGCCGGCGCGUCCUUCCUUCCGGAGACCGUGCCUUCUCUUAACUGGGCGGGUUCGGGAGACGGAACGUUUACUUUGAAAAAUCAGAGUGUUUCAAGCAGGCAGCUCGCUCUUGCAUGGAUUAGCAUGGGAUAAUGAAAUAGGACUUUGGUGCUAUUUUGUUGGUUUCGAACACCGAAGUAAUGAUUAACAGGGACAGUUGGGGGCAUUAGUAUUUAAUUGUCAGAGGUGAAAUUCUUGGAUUUAUGAAAGACUAACUACUGCGAAAGCAUUUGCCAAGGAUGUUUUCACUGAUCAAGAACGAAAGUUAGGGGAUCGAAGAUGAUC